GAUGAACGCUGGCGGCGUGCCUAAUACAUGCGAGUCGAGCGAACAGACGAGGAGCUUGCUCCUCUGACGUUAGCGGCGGACGGGUGAGUAACACGUGGAUAACCUACCUAUAAGACUGGGAUAACUUCGGGAAACCGGAGCUAAUACCGGAUAAUAUAUUGAACCGCAUGGUUCAAUAGUGAAAGACGGUUUUGCUGUCACUUAUAGAUGGAUCCGCGCCGCAUUAGCUAGUUGGUAAGGUAACGGCUUACCAAGGCAACGAUGCGUAGCCGACCUGAGAGGGUGAUCGGCCACACUGGAACUGAGACACGGUCCAGACUCCUACGGGAGGCAGCAGUAGGGAAUCUUCCGCAAUGGGCGAAAGCCUGACGGAGCAACGCCGCGUGAGUGAUGAAGGUCUUCGGAUCGUAGAACUCUGUUAUUAGGGAAGAACAAAUGUGUAAGUAACUAUGCACGUCUUGACGGUACCUAAUCAGAAAGCCACGGCUAACUACGUG
rnacentral:rRNA from 1 species